GACGAACGCUGGCGGCGUGCCUAAUACAUGCAAGUUGAGCGAUGAAGAUUGGUGCUUGCACCAAUUUGAAGAGCAGCGAACGGGUGAGUAACGCGUGGGGAAUCUGCCUUUGAGCGGGGGACAACAUUUGGAAACGAAUGCUAAUACCGCAUAACAACUUUAAACAUAAGCUUUAAGUUUGAAAGAUGCAAUUGCAUCACUCAAAGAUGAUCCCGCGUUGUAUUAGCUAGUUGGUGAGGUAAAGGCUCACCAAGGCGAUGAUACAUAGCCGACCUGAGAGGGUGAUCGGCCACAUUGGGACUGAGACACGGCCCAAACUCCUACGGGAGGCAGCAGUAGGGAAUCUUCGGCAAUUGACGAAAGUCUGACCGAGCAACGCCGCGUGAGUGAAGAAGGUUUUCGGAUCGUAAAACUCUGUUGGUAGAGAAGAACGUUGGUGAGAGUGGAAAGCUCAUCAAGUGACGGUAACUACCCAGAAAGGGACGGCUAACUACGUG
rnacentral:rRNA from 1 species